rnacentral:lncRNA from 1 species
GAGCGGUAUGGUUUCACUGCUUUGGAGUGUUGAACUCCAGAGCAGGGAGCCAGAAUUGUAACCAUCCUUUUCCUCAAAAUGGUUUCAAAGAGUCAUCGGUUAACCAUGGAUGGAUUAUAGACAAUCUAUCAUAUUCCUACUUGGAAACAAGAGGGCAAUCAAAAGUAACACCAAACUGGGAGUGGUGGGACAUGUCUGUUGCUACUUGGGAGGCUGAGGCAGGAGGACUGAAAGUUUGAGACCAGCCUCAGCAAUUUAGAGAGACCUUGUCUCAAAAUAAAAUAAAAGGGUUGGGCCUUGUAAGGUUUGUAGCUCAGUGGUAGAGUGCUUCCUUGCCUUGUGUAAGGCCUUGGGUUCAAUCCAUACCACUGAAAAGAAAAGUGGUAUCGAGCAAAGAUGUUAAUAUAAUGGUUAAAAGAAUGAGUUGGGCAUGAAGCAGUUUAUGUAUAUGAUGGCCCUGAACAAAUGAAGUGCUAAAGUCUAGUCACGCAAUUAGGAAAAAACCACAGUAUAUAAAAUAUGCUAAUUGUAUGAGUUGAAUAACAUGAGUAAAAUAAUUUUAGUUUGUUAUUCUCUGAGUACCUCUUAUUCUCCCCCAAGUAAACUGGCUUGAGUCUUAGCC